rnacentral:lncRNA from 1 species
GGGGGCGUGGCCUGUGCGGGUGGGCGGGGCCGGGCUCCCCGCGCUGCCGGGGUCCCGCGGGGUCCCCCCCUGUGUCCCCUCGGUCCCUCUGUCCCCUCUGUCCCCUCCGUCCCCUCGUUCCCAUUUCUGUCCCCUCUCUGUCCCCUCUGUCCCCUCUCUGUCGCCUCGUUCCCCUUUCUGUCCCCUCGGACCCCUUUCUGUCCCCUCUCUGUCCCUUCUGUUCCCUCUCUGUCCCCUCUCUGUCCCCUCGGUCCCUCUCUAUCCCAUCUCUGUCCCCUCGUUCCCCUUUCUGUCCCCUUGUUCCCCUUUCUGUCCCCUCGGACCCCUCUCUGUCCCCUCGGACCCCUCUCUGUCCCCUCUGUCCCCUGUCUGUCCUCUCUGUCCCCUCGUUCCCCUUUCUGUCCCCUCGUUCCCCUUUCUGUCCCCUCUCUGUCGCCUCGUUCCCCUUUCUGUCCCCUCGGACCCCUCUCUGUCCCUCUCUAUCCCCUCUCUGUCCCCUCGUUCCCCUUUCUGUCCCUUCUGUCCCCUCUCUGUCCCCUCGAUCCAUCUCUAUCCCCUCUGUCCCCUCGUUCCCCUCUCUGUCCCCUCGUUCCCCUUUCUGUCCCCUCAGACCCCUCUCUGUCCCCUCUGUCCCCUGUCUGUUCCCUCUGUCCCCUCUCUGUCCCUCUCUAUCCCCUUUCUGUCCCUCUCUAUCCCCUCUCUGUCCCCUCGUUCCCUUUUCUGUCCCCUCUAUCCCCUCUCUCUCCCCUCGUUCCCCUUUCUGUCCCCUCUGUCCCCUCGGACCCCUCUCUGUCCCCUCUGUCCCCUCUCUGUCCCCUCGUUCCCCUUUCUGUCCCCUCGGUCCCUCUCUAUCCCCUCUCUGUCCCCUCGUUCCCCUUUCUGUCCCCUCGUUCCCCUCUCUGUCCCCUCGGUCCCUCUCUAUCCCCUCUCUGUCCCUCUCUAUCCCCUCUCUGUCCCCUCUAUCCCCUCUCUGUCCCCUCGCUCCCCUUCCUGUCCCCUUGGACCCUUCUCUGUCCCCUCCGCCCC